GAUGAACGCUGGCGGCGCGCCUAACACAUGCAAGUCGAACGGUUAAAGCACCUUUUAGGUGUGUAUAAAGUGGCGAACGGCUGAGUAACACGUGGGCAACCUGCCCUCCUCUUGGGGAUAGCCUCGGGAAACCGAGGAUAAUACCCGAUACUUCAAUGUGGCCGCAUGACGACAUUGAGAAAGCUUUUGCGGAGAAGGAUGGGCCCGCGGCCUGUUAGCUUGUUGGUGGGGUAGAGGCCUACCAAGGCAAUGAUGGGUAGCUGGGUUGAGAGACCGACCAGCCAGAUUGGGACUGAGACACGGCCCAGACUCCUACGGGAGGCAGCAGUGGGGAAUCUUGCACAAUGGGCGAAGGCCUGAUGCAGCGACGCCGCGUGCGGGACGAAGGCCUUCGGGUUGUAAACCGCUUUCAGCAGGGACGAGGCGAUAAGUGACGGUACCUGCAGAAGAAGCCCCGGCUAACUACGUG
rnacentral:rRNA from 1 species